AGUCAUAUGCUUGUCUCAAAGAUUAAGCCAUGCAUGUCUAAGUAUAAGUUUUUACUGCGAAACUGUGAAUGGCUCAUUAUAACAGUUAUUAUUUUCUAGCCGUUCAGUGUUUCCUUGGACACCCAUGGUAAUUCUAGAGCUAAUACAUGCUUUUAAAUCCGACUUAUUGAAGGGUUGCGCUUAUUAGAUAUCGAACCAACCCAGGUUAUGCCUGGUUUUCGUUGAUUCAUAGUGUUCUGGCGAAUCGACUCGCAAGAGACGAUGAGGCUAUCAAGUUUCUGACCUAUCAGCUUCCGACGGUAGGAUAUUGGCCUACCGUGGCUUUGACGGGUAACGGAGA
rnacentral:rRNA from 1 species